AUUGAACGCUGGCGGCAUGCCUUACACAUGCAAGUCGAACGGCAGCACGGACUUCGGUCUGGUGGCGAGUGGCGAACGGGUGAGUAACGCAUCGGAACGUACCCGGUAGUGGGGGAUAACUACCCGAAAGGGUGGCUAAUACCGCAUAUACUGUGCGCAGGAAAGCAGGGGACCUUCGGGCCUUGUGCUACCGGAGCGGCCGAUGUCAGAUUAGGUAGUUGGUGGGGUAACGGCCUACCAAGCCUGCGAUCUGUAGCGGGUCUGAGAGGAUGAUCCGCCACACUGGGACUGAGACACGGCCCAGACUCCUACGGGAGGCAGCAGUGGGGAAUUUUGGACAAUGGGCGCAAGCCUGAUCCAGCCAUGCCGCGUGAGUGAAGAAGGCCUUCGGGUUGUAAAGCUCUUUCGGACGGAAAGAAAUCGCGCAGGCUAAUACCCUGCGCGGAUGACGGUACCGUCAUAAGAAGCACCGGCUAACUACGUGCCAGCAGCCGCCGCAG
rnacentral:rRNA from 1 species